rnacentral:lncRNA from 1 species
CGAGUUUAUAACGAAUUUCUUGCAACUUCUAAUAAGAUUUAAAGGAAAGUAAUAAUUCUCUUUCUUGCGAGAUGUGCAAUUUGAAAGUAAUUUAGGGAAAAAUAAUGAUUACUUACCAUAAAAAUGCGCUAAAAUUUGGAAGAGGGAGAGAAAGAGAAAGAAAGAGAGAGAUGUACGACUGCAUCAAUUUUCGAGAAAAAGAAGAAAACAAGAGAUAUUUAACUUUACUAUAUCUCUCUACUUUAUUAAAAUCUAAAAAUAAACUUAACAUUAUCAGUAAUUAUAUGCCAUAUUUUAUCAUGAUCAACUUUUAAAAAUUUUCUUAUUAAUUACCAAAUUAAUCAAGACCGAUAUAAAAAUAAACAAAAGACGAUAAGUACAUAUUUCAAAAACACAUCCAUUUUCGUUAAUUACUUAAAAUAUAAUUUCCAUUAAAUCGAUGUUAAGAUGGAUUAAUAUAAACUCUAACAAGCUUCGCCCGUUUCACUAAAGCAUAACAUUUAUAAUUAAAUAAUUAUCCAAUUAACAAACAACGUUGGUUCAAGAAAAG